AUGGAAUUGUUCAAUAUCGCGCUGCUAGCCAGACAAGCAUGGAGGAUAAUGCAGGAACCGGCCACUUUAAGUGCAAGAUUAUUGAAGGCAUCUUAUUUCCCUAACUCAUCUAUUCUUGAGGCCGAGCUGGGUUCUCGUCCAUCUCAAGGAAUAAUCAGAAGGAUCGGUAAUGGCUUAUCUACACGUAUUUGGAAGGACAACUGGAUUCCCAAAGAAACAACUCGAAAACCAAUUGCAUCACUAGUGGCGACACCCCCCAGGAUGGUAUCCGAUCUUUUGUCUCCGGCCACUGCCUCAUGGAAUGAAUCCUUAGUGCGUGCGGUUUUCUUACCCUUCGGUGCUGAAGCGAUCCUAAAGAUUCCAAUGUGCACAUGAAAUACGGAGGACUUUUGGGCUUGGAACCCGGACAGGAGGAGCAGGUUUACAGUCAGUUUGGCAUACAAGCUCCUAGUCUCAACAAAACUUCAAAAAGAAGCUUGGCUAGAAGGACGGGGUGAUUCAUCAUCAAAUGCUAGAGAAGAGGAAGCUUGGGGACGUCUAUGGCAGCUGAAAGUCCCAUCAAAGAUCAGAGUUUUUCUAUGGCGUCUUGCUCGACACUCCAUACCAACUACGGAUGUCCUACAUAGACGGAAUAUGGCAACUCAGAGUGCGUGCCCGCUGUGUGGAUGCCAAGACUCGUGGAGACAUGCUCUAUUGUCAUGCACUAUAUCGAGGUGCAUUUGGGCCUUGUCGGAUGAUAUCCUUGUGUUGCAGAUGACAGGGAACGAGGAACCUAAUGCGAAGAACUGGCUGUUUGAACUUCAUGAGACAUUAGACCACCUGAGCUUCACGAGAAUGGUCGUUACUUUGUGGGCUGUUUGGUACGUGAGGCGAAAGGCAAUUUAUGAAUCUUUGUUCCAAAACCCACACCAAACAGUAUCAUUUGUAGACUCUUAUCUUUAG
rnacentral:rRNA from 1 species